UACGUAGGGCGCAAGCGUUGUCCGGAUUUAUUGGGCGUAAAGAGCUCGUAGGCGGCUUGUUGCGUCGUCCGUGAAAACCCGCAGCUCAACUGCGGGCUUGCGGACGAUACGGGCAGGCUGGAGUUCGGUAGGGGAGACUGGAAUUCCUGGUGUAGCGGUGAAAUGCGCAGAUAUCAGGAGGAACACCGGUGGCGAAGGCGGGUCUCUGGGCCGAUACUGACGCUGAGGAGCGAAAGCGUGGGGAGCGAACAGG
rnacentral:rRNA from 1 species